UACGGGGGGGGGUAAGCGUUGUUCGGAAUUACUGGGCGUAAAGGGCUCGUAGGCGGCCAACUAAGUCGGACGUGAAAUCCCUCAGCUUAACUGGGGAACUGCGUCCGAUACUGGAUGGCUUGGAUUCGGGAGAGGAAUGCGGAAUUCCAGGUGUAGCGGUGAAAUGCGCAGAGAUCGGGAGGAACACCCGUAGCGAAGGCGGUUCUCUGGGCCGGUACUGACGCUGAGGAGCGAAAAGCGUGGGGAGCCAAAC
rnacentral:rRNA from 1 species